GACGAACCGAGCGAACGUUGUUCGGAAUCACUGGGCUUAAAGGGCGCGUAGGCGGGCUGUCAAGUCUGGGGUGAAAUCCCGCGGCUCAACCGCGGAACCGCCUCGGAUACUGACGGCCUCGAGGGGGGUAGGGGCGGGCGGAACUGAUGGUGGAGCGGUGAAAUGCGUUGAUAUCAUCAGGAACUCCGGUGGCGAAGGCGGCCCGCUGGACCCCAUCUGACGCUGAGGCGCGAAAGCCAGGGGAGCAAACGGG
rnacentral:rRNA from 1 species